rnacentral:lncRNA from 1 species
UGGGUAUAUAUCAAAUUGUAUAUAGCUUUGAACAAGCUUGCAGCUUGAAGUUCGAUUUAUGAGCAGAGGUAAAAGAAAUCAAAUGGCUACCUUGUGAGAAAUUUCAGUGAGUGUUGAUCCUGUUUGUUUGCUGGAAAAGAAGGUUCAUAGAUAUGAAUACCAUUUAAAUGAAGGCUCUUAUUCAUAGGGAAGAAUGUAAGAAACUGAUUUAGUAAAUACUUACUUGUGUGCUGGAUUCUGUACGCCAAAGAGAGAGUCUGAAAUGGUGGGAAUUGCCAAGAGGAAAUGGCUUUGCAGACAAG